UUAAUAAUAAUAAUAAUCCAAUCUGUUAUGAGUUUGGGGGCAAUCUCUGUUUUCUAUGUCUUCUUUCUGUUUGGUAAGUUUCCUUCUCUCAAGAAGGUGAGCACAGCUCCUACCUGGCAGGUGGUUAGAGACCCUGGCUUUAUGCACUUGUAGUUUGUGUGUUUGUAACAGAACAGCCACUCUGUCUGGAACACAUUAGGUCUCCUCACACUGCUAGUACCACUUGCUUCCCUGUUGGAACCAAAGAGGAACAGAAUGCAAGGCCGGACCUCCCUAUUUGUUGAAGAUUAGAAGUUUGUGUCCCUACAAAAUUCAUAUUUUAAAAUGCUUAUCCUGGGGCUAGAGAGAUAGGUUGGUGAUUAGGAGUCCAACUCCUCUUCCAGAGGGACCCAAGCUCUAUUUGUGGGCCCUUCGUUACGUGGCUCACAUUGUCUGUACUUCCAGCUCCUGGAGACCCUGUGCUCUCUUCUGGCCUCUAGAGGAACACAAGCCCACAUGUGUAAACCCAUAGGCAGACAAAUGAUUAAAAAUAAACAUUUAAAAAUUGCUAACCCCAAAUGUGAUGGUGUCAGAAGGUGGGGCCUUUGGGAGGUGACUGGGUUUUAACAUCUCCACACAUGGGCCUUAAUGAAUGUGAUCAGCACCCACUUAAAAAGAAAUCUGGAGCUGGCAAGAUGGCUCAGUGGGUAAAAGGUACUGGUCACAAAGCCUGAUGACUCGGUUCCUCCUGGGUUCCAUAUGGUGGAAAGUGAGAACCAACUCCUUCCUGCCAGUUGUCUUCUGACCUCUACACGUGCCGUAUCGUGCUUGUGUUCAAGGGCCUGUAUGUUCAGGGUAGGUCUUCCCAUGUCAGUUACACCUUUACUGACACACUUGAGGUAUGUCUCCUAGGUGACCUCAUAUCUAGGUGACAAUGAAGAUUUACCAUCACCAGGAGCUUAUGACCAGAUACAACCAGAGGGGUGUCCUCUGCCUUUGCCUCCUCCUCAGUGUCCAGUUCCCAUAUCUGAGUCCUGCAGGAGAUCGCCAUGAGCCCUAUGAUCACUUCUGCAGCUGCCAAGCCUAGGCUACAUGGAGCCUUCAUGGGUUGGCAGUCCUGGGCUACCAUGUUGCCAACGUCUCUCUCCAACUGGCAUUGAACAAAUAUUAGUGGACCGAGCCCUGGAGCCCAGCAGAAGGAAGAGAGAACAGAGCAGAGAAAUCCCUGUGUAGACACAACAGUGAAUCCUGACUGUGCUCCAGGACAAGGACAUGGAGGACAAAUGUGAGCACAUGACAUCAGAAACAUAUGCAGAGAGACAAAGUCUACACUCAAGCAAGGCCUGUCCUGAUCUCCCUUUUGCUGAUGACUGUGGCGUCCUGGCCAGUCCAGAAAUGCCUGGAAGGGUUCCUGGCUUGCUUCUGUGUGUGCCAUGCUGUGCGCCCAUGCAUGUGGUUUGUCAUAGGGAACGUUUCUUGGUGUUCUAUAGUAAGAUCUUCAACCCAAGCUCCAGCUGGGAGGAGCACCUUCGUCCACUGACUUUGAGAUGACUGCCUGGUCUGCUUAGCUAGCAGCACUCUGUGCCUUGCAAUCCCCACCAUGCAAGUCUGCUCCUUCCAGAGGUCUGCUGGCUUCCUCGGAUCUAAGGAAACCCCUCUUCCAGAAAGUGGUUUCUGACUCACAGGGGCACCUAGAGACAUGUGGAUUAAGAAGGCCUUCCAGGCCUCUGGCCAAAUUCUAAUGGUGAAAUUUGAAGCCGGGUCUUUGAAAUUCAGAAUAUCUCUUCCACACUGUGGAUCUGAUCACCACCCCCACCCAGAAGGCAGUAGGGUAGGAAGGACACAUCAUCCCUGCCACCACCAGCCAUCUGGAGACUGAGAUGGGAGGGCUGUGGCAGAGUAAUCUGUGACCAGGGCUUGGGGACUUGGUGUGGGGCCUGUAAUGCCUGGCUAGACUCCACCUCAUCAAGAAGAUUAAGGGUAAUUGAGUAGCGGCUCUCACAAGGCUACUUGAAAGUUGGAGGUUGGCCCAAAACCUGCCCACUAGGAUGCGCUCAUGCCAGGAUUGUGAGAGCUCCCAUCAAAAACCAGAAGAACAUCCAGGCCUCCUGUGGCUGGAGGAAACCUGUGGCAACCAGAUCAGGGCUCUUCUGACACAGAUAAGACACCUGAUGCUCAUUGGUCUGUGAGGGACACUUCACUAUAACUAUCCUCAUCUUUGCCAUCUCACAGGGGAAGAAAGUGAGGCCUCCAGAGGGAUCCCAGAAUCCCGGUGUCAGGGAAGACUAUUGAGGUCAAGUGCCAUAGCCCAAGUGACUCUGGGCAGAGUGCCCCUUGCUAAGCUCCGGGAACCACCCUCCUUAUUGAGUCAGACAGAGCCAAGAAUGAGAGCCUUGAGAUAGAGGGAUCAAGCCGAACUGCACACUAACCCUUUUCUUUCCAUCUUACAACACUGCUCUUGCAGGUACCUGCAGAAACCUGAAGGGGGCACUGGAUCUGGAGUUUCAUGAAGUUGUGAGCUGCCCAGCAUGGGUGCCAAUAACACUGGUCUUUAGUAGCAGGAACUGGCACACUUAAACAUGGAGCUGUCUCUCCAGCCCUGCACAUGGGGCCCGCUAACUUCUGACCUCUUAAACCUUCAUUGACUCCCACUACUUCCAGGACCCCCUGAGGACCUCCCUGCUGCCUUCUUCCCACAACACCAGUCUCCCUGUCAUAUCCCUGUCUCUUCUCUCCUGUGCCUCCCUGCCAUCCUCUAAAGCGCUUUCUACGAAGCCUUCCUGUGUUCAUUUUGUAACUGGGGCAGGUCAUAGAGACCGGUGUCAGUUUCUUAGCCUUCAUCUUCAUCAUUACAUCCUCUUGGUGAGAUAAAGGGAAAAAGAAAGGGAACCUUGUCUCUCUUCUGAGCUCUCAAAGCAAACUUGCUCCGGGUCCUGUGUUCUGUUAACCACAAGAAGAGCUCAUGGCACAUACUCUUCCUUUGAGCUGCCCCACUGGGGAUCCUGAACCUCAAGCCUCAGGGCCAGGACACUAGGGCUCUAUUUUCCACAACCUAGAAGGCUCAGACUCUUUCUUUAACCCUGAGGAGAACUGAAUGUUAGCUCCCAGAUUUGUGUGAUGGGCGAGGGUGGAGCCAACUAAGACCCGCCCCCUCCAGGGCUGGUGAGAGUGUUCAUUAUUUCCCUGCCAUGCCAGCCAGGCCUUGGGGUGAAGCCAGCCCCAGCUUUUGAUGGGAGACAGAUUUAAUUACCUUCUCAGGCAGAGGGCGAGGAUAAUGAGAAGCAGAUAAAAAGCUUGGCAAGGCAGGGCCCUUGAGCACUCGGCCUGCCUACCCCUACAUACAGCCUCUGGGGGUUCAGGGAGAGCAAGAGUGUGGCUUCCCAGGCAGCUGUGGCCCUUGUGUAAUGCCACCACCAUGCCCGAGACUGAGUCAGCACUCUGUCUGGGUUACACAGAGCACUCCCACCCCAGUGCGGAGGAAUGCUCGGUCUUCUGCAGCAGUGUGGAGUUAGUCCUAGGACAGAUGGGAAACAAGACACAAGCAGACACCAGGGCUUCUGGCUUGUACGAGGCCUGAAAGUUCUGAUGGAAUGGGACAUUAAGAAGAAAGAUUGUGGAGAAAGGAGAUCUGUGUGGGGGUGUGGCAAGGCUUGUCAUACUCAGGAUUGGGGCAUCUUUGCCUUUCCCAGGCAGCCUGCCUGACCUGGUGUUUUCUUUCAAGUGCUUAUAGGAUUGUCCCAGAGCUUCCUUCUGAGUCUGUUCCAAAAUUCUUUUAUAAUUGAAACUAGGAAUCCUGAGAGGGGACCCCAUUUUCUUGGUAACAUAUGGUAACCUAGCUGAGGCUCCAUGAAGUUGUCAGUAACGGUAUGGCUAGACUUGGGAACUUUACAGAGUGGCUAAGGCACUGGAGUGUUCUUGGAUUCUUGUUGGUGAGGAUAAGGAGGGAGAGCGGAGGUGGUGGGAGAACAGAAUGGGGUGCCUGCUUGAAGAUGACAAAAGGACUAGGCAAGAGGAAGAGGUUGGGCAGACAAGUGAAGAACAUUCUUGUGGGGUCCAUUCUGGAUUCUGGGUUCUUCCCUGAGGGUGACACAGGGUGCUACACAAACUAGGCGGGUAUCUUUCUGCUCCCUGCCUUUCCUGCCUUUCCCUUAGAAAUGCCAUCAUGCUGGGCUCCACAGCAGAUCCCUAGGGGGAUAAACAAACCUGAGUGCCCAGAGAAGGAUUGAUAGAGAAGGGCCAGAGAUGAGGGUGGGUCUUCUGCUCAGACCUGGUUCUCAUGCUGAUGACCGGAGCCUGAGCUGGGAGGACCUGAAGGGGAAAUUGUCAAACUAUCCCUUCAUUCCACUGGACUCCUUUCCAAAGGGGCAGCCGGAAGGGCAAUCAGGAGGUGUGGAACUUAAUACUGUAGCCCAUACUCCAGAUAGGAAAUUUAUUUUCUUAAUCCUGGGUAAGCUAACACUAUCCUCCACAUCAUAGUUUCCUGAUCAGUAAAGUGAGGCUUGAAACCACAUCUCAGGAUUGUGGCAUGAAUUUUAAAAAGAGAGCCACACCGAGGAUAAUGUAUGUAAAAUUCCUAACAUGAUGCCUGGCAAGGGGCAGCUCCCAACCACUAGCUGUAAUGAUGGUUACUAUUACUAAUCCCGUUGGGCAGUGCUUCUCCACCUUUGAAAACUCUAGGUUCCUUUGUGAGAGGCACACAGGUCUCAAACCCCUGCCUUCUUCCACACAGGAUUUAAAAAGAAAUAAAGGCUGGAGGGGUGGGGAGACAUUUCAAGAACUUACAAGAGAGCUUCCCAAAUACAGGGAUGGCUCCGGGUGGGCUGGGAUGGGGAAGGUGUUCUGGGCUGCAUUUCUGAGUGUGGUCCCGAGGCUCGGAGCAACCACUUGGGUAGGACUCCCCUCUUUCCCAGGCUACCCGCAGUGUGUGUUGGAUCCCCGCCCAGCCUCGCAGCUCAGGCCGCAGUGACUUUGAGCCAAGAACAGAGGAAGCUCUUUCGAAUACAAAUACCUUUGGACCCUCAGAUCCCAGCCGGCGCGCCAUUCUCAUGCUAAUGAAUGGGGCUCCAGUUCAGGUGGUUUUGAAGGGGAAAUUGCCAACACAGUUACCCAGCCCAGCCUGCUGCGUUUCUCCUCUGCCAGGACUAAGACCUCGGGGAUCAUUUUUAGCACGGCCUCCAGUACCAGCACCAGCUCUACCCCAGUGACUCUAUAGUUCUGCAAGUCUCAUGACUGGCUGGGCUCCAUUAUUUGGGGUUUAUGAACUGAACAGAUCCUUCUAAAUCAAUGUAAUAAUUCACGUGACAGUGAUAGCUGCCAUUCACACACCUACUCUCCAGUCAGGGUGUUUGGGAGUGUGCUCAGAGCACUGGGUCCGUCAUUGUUCCGUCUGCAGCAGUGAGGCCCAGAAAGUAAGGCAAAGUGCUCCAGACCUUGCCACUGUGGUGCCAGGCUCCAAAGUCAGAUGUUGUAUAGGGCUACACCUGUAGGACAUAGGCCUUGAUCAUAGGUCACAUCACCCUAUGAUCAUCAGUUUGGGGUUUCUGGGCCUGUAAAUAUUCCCCCACUGAAGCCCCAUUUCAUUUUUCUGUUGUCUUAUCAUUGCCCUCUCCCCUUUUAUCCAGACCUGGACAAUACCUGUUUUAACUCAAUGAACUACUCACCCUUCAAGGCCUAAGUCACUUGUACCAGCUCUGCUACAUAAAGCUGUCCAAGCAAGCUCUCUUCAUUCUGUCUCCACUGUUCAGAUCUUUAGGAUAGUCCUCAGGUGUGGUCCUGUCCCCUUCUGGGCUGGGAAGUACUUGAGGGAGAGUACCUGCCUAGUUCAUCUCCACAAUGCCAAUGCCUGGCACUGAAGAGGUCAACUCAGGAACUUUGGAAAAUUCCAUCUCCUCUCCUGGAAGAGAAAGGUCAUAGAGGACUUAGGCACCACCCCCUCCGGAAGGGAGGGGCUAAUUACAUUCCUCAGACAAGGUGGGGGGAGGGAGGAACCAACCAUCAGCCACUUGCGGGUAUGGGAAGUCCUGAGCACAUAGACACAUUCUGUGACCAUUGGCCACCUAUAGACAAGGGAAGUCCUUGCCACCUCAUUCCCUAAAGACCAAUCAGUUUAAAAGUCGCACUGUUCUGCCAAUCACAAUGUGCGCAAUGGCUGCGGCUCUGAAAACUGUAUAAAAACUUACCGAAUGGGCUGUGCAGAGUCCUUGUUCUCUCUUCUUCUUGUGCAGGGUGACCCCAGCAUGCUGGAACAAUAAAAUUCCUCUUGUUUUUGCAACGA